ensembl:lncRNA NUTM2A-AS1 NUTM2A antisense RNA 1
CCCUGGUCCUCACAGCCCUGAUUUGGACCAGAAUCUCAGGUGCUCAGAAGAAAGAUCCUGUUUAGUGAUGACCCAGCUCUACCUGCUGAAUGGACCUGCAGGCAGUUUAAGUAUAGUGUGCCUGGGCCGGGUGCGGUGGCUCACGCCUAUAAUCCCAGCACUUUGGGAGGCCAAGGCCAGUGGAUCACCUGAGGUCAGGAAUUCGGGACCAACCUGGCCAACAUGUGAAACCCCAUCUCCACUAAAAAAUCCAAAAAUUAGCCAGGCAUGGUGGUGCGUGCCUGUAAUCCCAGCUAUUCAGGAGACUGAGGCAGGAGAAUCGCUGGACCUUGGGGAGGCGGAGGUUGCAGUGAGCUGAGAUCGCACACUACCGUACUCCAGCCUGGGUGACAAAGAAAAACUCCGUCUCAAAAAAUAAUAAUAAUAAAAAAGUAUAGUGUGCCUGGAUGCAGUUUUGUUUUUAUUUAUCCUGCUUGGGGAUCAUAAAGCUUUAUCAGUUUUGGAAAGUUCUCAGCCUAUAUUUAUUUAACUGUUCCUUCUGCCCCAUCUUCCUCCCUUCUUCUAAGACUCCAGUUACGUAUGUAUUAGGCCUGUUCACCACUUCCCACAAGUAUCUUAUGUUCUUUGCUGUAUUUUCCAUACUCUUUGUCUCUGUUUUUCAGCUUAGAGUUUUUAUUCUGUCCUGUAUUACAGUUCAAAGAAUGUUCCUUCUGCUAAAUCUAAUUGUAGUUAACCCAUAUGCUAAGUACUUAAUUUCAGUUAUUGUAUUUUUAAGUUUUAAAUUUCCAUUUCAUUCUUUCUUAUAGAUUCCAGUUCUUUGAUGAAAGUCUCUAUUCCACCCAUCAAGUCUGUGUCUGAUAACACCAAUAUCUGGGUCAUUAGUGGCUCCGUUUUGUUGUGUCUGUUUUCCCCUCCUUCCUGUUUUGUGGUGUGUUUGAUCACUUAUUGUUGAAUGCUA